rnacentral:rRNA from 1 species
GAGCGAGAAAAGGGGGGCAACUACCCUGAGUAAAGCGGCGCACGGGUGAGUAACACGUGGGUAAUCUGCCCUGGAGUGGGGAAUAACACCGGGAAACCGGUGCUAAUACCGCAUACGAUCACGAGGUCUGCGGAUUUUGUGAUGAAAGGAGCAAUUCGCUCUAGGAGGAGCCCGCGGCUGAUUAGCUAGUUGGUGAGGUAAUGGCUCACCAAGGCUACGAUCAGUAUCCGGUCUGAGAGGACGGUCGGACACACUGGAACUGAGACACGGUCCAGACUCCUACGGGAGGCAGCAGUGGGGAAUUUUUCGCAAUGGGGGCAACCCUGACGAAGCAACGCCGCGUGGGUGAUGAAGUCUCUUGGGACGUAAAACCCUUUCGACGGGGAAGAAACCGCAAGGUUGACGGUAUCCGUAGAAGAAGCCCCGUCUAACUCCGUG